AUACGGAGGAUGCAAGCGUUAUCCGGAUUUAUUGGGUUUAAAGGGUGCGUAGGCUGUUCGGAAAGUCAGGGGUGAAAGCCCGGCGCCUAACGCCGGAACUGCCUUUGAUACUUCCGAGCUGGAAUACGGAUGCCGUGGGAGGAAUGAGUAGUGUAGCGGUGAAAUGCAUAGAUAUUACUCAGAACACCGAUUGCGAAGGCAUCUCACGAAUCCGUCAUUGACGCUGAGGCACGAAAGCGUGGGGAUCAAACAGGAUUAGAUACCCUGGUAGUCCACGCAGUAAACGAUGAUGACUAACCGUCGGCGAUACACAGUCGGUGGCCAAGCUAAAGCGAUAAGUCAUCCACCUGGGGAGUACGUUCGCAAGAAUGAAACUCAAAGGAAUUGACGGGG
rnacentral:rRNA from 1 species